rnacentral:rRNA from 1 species
UGGGGAAUCUUCCGCAAUGGACGAAAGUCUGACGGAGCAACGCCGCGUGAGUGAUGACGGCCUUCGGGUUGUAAAGCCCUGUUAAUCGGGACGAAUGGUUCUUGUGCGAAUAGUGCAAGGAUUUGACGGUACCGGAAUAGAAAGCCACGGCUAACUACGUGCCAGCAGCCGCGGUAAUACGUAGGUGGCAAGCGUUGUCCGGAAUUAUUGGGCGUAAAGCGCGCGCAGGCGGAUUGGUCAGUCUGUCUUAAAAGUUCGGGGCUUAACCCCGUGAUGGGAUGGAAACUGCCAAUCUAGAGUAUCGGAGAAGAAAGUAGAAUUCCUAGUGUAGCGGUGAAAUGCGUAGAUAUUAGGAAGAACAACAGUGGCGAAGGCGACUUUCUGGACGAAAACUGACGCUGAGGCGCGAGAGCCAGGGGAGCGAACGGG